GACGAACGCUGGCGGCGUGCUUAACACAUGCAAGUCGAACGGAAAGGCCCUGCUUGCAGGGUCCUCGAGUGGCGAACGGGUGAGUAACACGUGGGUGAUCUGCCCUGCACUUCGGGAUAAGCCUGGGAAACUGAGUCUAAUACCGGAUAGGAGCCAUUUUUAGUGUGAUGGUUGGAAAGUUUUUUCGGUGUAGGAUGAGCUCGCGGCCUAUCAGCUUGUUGGUGGGGUAAUGGCCUACCAAGGCGGCGACGGGUAGCCGGCCUGAGAGGGUGGACGGCCACAUUGGGACUGAGAGACGGCCCAGACGCCUACGGGAGGGAGCAGGGGGGAAUAUUGCACAAUGGGCGCAAGCCUGAUGCAGCGACGCCGCGUGGGGGAUGACGGCCUUCGGGUUGUAAAAUCCUUUCGCUAGGGACGAAGCUUUUUGUGACGGUACCUAGAUAAGAAGCACCGGCUAACUACGUG
rnacentral:rRNA from 1 species